AAAUAGUUUCUUAUUCCUGAACCAACUCUCUUUCAAAUAUUUUAAGAAACAAUAAACCUUAUCAAAUCGUCUAUUCCCGAAAACUUUCAAACACUCAGCCUUGAAUUCCGGUAAGAAAUCCCUCUCCACGAUCGCCAACACCAUCACUGCCACCGCCCCGCAGCCUUCCUCGUCGUCCAUUCGACGCUGCUCAACAAUUCCACCAAGCAAGGAACCAAAUUCCUCAAGGCUGCGUGGCUGGACGCAUAAGGCAGGCUUCAAAAGCUUUAUGGAGGAAAUGUGUAUGUGGGUCUUCGAAUUCCCGAUGCUGAUUCUGGUUCUCCACAGAGCAUUGAUAUGGUUCUUGUCACUAAAGCGUAUUAUCACUUCCCCCAUCAUUUUUUUUUUCUUCUCAGCUUUUGCAAAGUAUUUUAUAUUGUUUUACUUGUUUUACUAGCGGCCAUUGUUAGGGAGAUUAAGAACAGAAACACAUUGGUUCAUUGAGACUUGAGGUGAGAGGUUAAUUUGUUAAUUUAAGACCUUUACAUUAUUAUUGAGAUUGUGCUCACAAUGUGUUCGAUCAUUUGCUUCACUGGCCUACGCAUGCUGCAUUGUAAUUUAAACUUGUAAACUUUUUUUCCCGUAUCAAAGUUGGUUAUUGUAUAGGCUAUAUUGAACCUGCGAUGGUGAUCUGCAUGAACCUGUGAUAGUGAGUUAUAUGUGGAGUGUGCACUGUACAUUGAUGGAGCACCAUUUGGCCUUCCCACAAGAACAAGAUCCUUCAUGACAAACAAAUAGUGCAUAUUUUGGUGGCUAGCGCAAGUGUUAAGACAUCAGCAUUUAGUUAGCAUUUUUCUUCUGUUUCAUGU